GACGAACGCUGGCGGCGUGCUUAACACAUGCAAGUGGAGCGACGAACCAGGGCUUGCCCUGGGGCAGAGCCGCGAACGGGUGAGUAACACGUGGGUAACGUGCCCCGAUGACUGGGACAACCCGGGGAAACCCGGGCUAAUACCGGAUGUGCCCCCUCACAUCAGUGAGGUGUGUAAAGGAAGCUUCGGCCUCCGCAUCGGGAUCGGCCCGCGGCCCAUUAGCUUGUUGGUGAGGUAACGGCUCACCAAGGCUGCGAUGGGUAGCUGGUCUGAGAGGACGAUCAGCCACACUGGGACUGAGACACGGCCCAGACUCCUACGGGAGGCAGCAGUGGGGAAUCUUGCGCAAUGCGCGAAAGCGUGACGUAGCAACGCCGCGUGGGGGAAGACGGCCUUCGGGUUGUAAACCCCUUUCAGUUGGGACGAAGGUCGGGCGGUUAACAGCCGUUCCGGCUGACGGUACCUUCACAAGAAGCCCCGGCUAACUACGUG
rnacentral:rRNA from 1 species